AUACCAAGGAAAACACUGUAUCUGCAUUGCAGAUACAGAAGAAUGAGCUAGGAGAUACAUUGGAAUCCCUGAUGCCAGCACCUCUCACCAUGCUGUGGAGAUCCUUUCUCCAAGUGUCCUAGGAGCUGCGGAAGGACCUCUGAGGUCCAAGCACUAAUCAACGCAGACAAAACCAGAAGCCCCUUCAUUCCCCUUUUGUUAUUACCAAUGUGAAAAAUCACCACUGUCAACUUGACAGAACCUGGAACCAGCUGCCAGAUGGUUCUCAGGACAUGCCUACAGAGAACUGCCUUGAUUACAAUGAUUACAGUGGGAAGACCACCCACUGUGGGUGGCACCAUUCCCUGGCUGGCCUCCUGGUCUGUAUAUGUGGAGAGAGGGAGCCACGCAGAAGCUUGCAUUCAUUCAUCACUCUGUCCCUAACUGUGGAUGCCAUGUGACCAGCUGCUUCAUGUUCCUGCCCCAUCGACCUCCCUGCCAUGACAGGCUGUACCUCCUGAGCCAGAAUAAACCCUGCCCCCUUAAGUUGCCUUUGUUACGUUAUUUUGAUGACAGCAACAGUAAAAGAAACUGAGAUAACCACUUUGUAAUGGGGCCUCUCUUCUAUUCCCUGUGUGGUCCUCACUCCCCUUUCAGAAGGGCACGUACGUGAAGGGUCAGAUGAGUUGCUGCAUGUGAAUAGGGUUCACGCACACAAGGCUGUGUGUAAGUCUGAGUAGUCAUCAGUGUAAGGUGAAAAGAACCCCGUGCCUUUCAGUUUCGCCUUCACUGGGUUCUCAUAGAAGAAUAUUUGUGAUGCAAGAUCUUGUGUAGCUCAGGCUGGCCUCAAAUUUCUUAAGUGGCUGAGGCUGGCCUAGAAUUUCUAAUCUUCUAGUAUCCCAUCUCUUAAGCAUUAAGAUUACAGGUAUGCACUGCUGUGCAUAGCUCUUUUAUAAACUUUUUUUAAAAGUGUGUGUGUGUGUGUGUGUGUGUGUGUGUGUGUGUGUGUGUCUAUCUGUCUGUCUGUUCAUCUGUCUACAGGACAAGUGCCAUUCAUGCAUGUGGAACUUAGAGGACAUAUUGGAUUGGGUGUCAGGCCUCACCUUCUACCUGUUUGACAUACGAUGUUUGUUUUGUUUUGUUUUGUUUUGUUUCCCACAAUCACAUAUGUCAGAUUAGCUGAUUCAUAAGCUACCAGGUAUUCUGUCUCUGCCUCCCAUCUCAUCAUAAUAGUGUCAAAUCACUGACACAACUGAACUGGCUUGGUGUAGAUUCUGGGGGACCUGAACUCGGAUCGUCAUGCUUGUCCAACAAGUGCUUUACCCACUUAGCCAUCUCUUUAGUCUCUUGCUUCAGUUAUUUUUAAUCAAAACAGGUAUGAUCAUGAACCCCGACAGUGCACACUCCUAACUCUGAGGCACUGAGCGAAAGCCUGGCACUCUUCCUGUGUUGUUUGUCUCAUGGUCGGUCCAAUUCUGAAGGGCAAUUGUGCCCUGAUUUGGGGAAAGCUGGUACAAAGUAUAGCAUAGAGUAAGGAUUCACUAGAACUGUGGUGGAAGAUUCAAUAACUGUGUAAGUGGUGGUCAUGGAAGUCCUUCUAUAAGGAAGGAUGAGGGCAGGGUCCUUCCAGCAUGCCAUCACUGUUACCAGAAGUCUAUUAAAGUCUCAGUGGAGCCCAUGGUUUCUCCUACAUCAUUCGUACAGACACUAGGGAAGAUUCCUGCUGGUCAUUAUUGAUGUUCACCAUCUUAUCUGGGGUUUGCUCAUCUAUGAUGGACCUUCAAUUCACCUAGCCCAUGAUAUCUUGCUAAGUGCAAAUUCUGGUUCAAGUGUUUCAGGAUUCUGUGUCUCAUACACAGAGCCCCAAAGCGACACCAGAGUCAUGGGACUGAGAACUCACUCUUAAGUCAAAACCUUUACAGUCCUCAACAGAGUCACUAUUGCUGUCUAGAGGCAUUUUGGAACGGUGUAGAUGCAUGCUGGAGCCUCUGGACAUUUAGUAGAUGAUGUCUACAGCUCUGUCCAGUGUCUCAAUACAACACAGCUGCCCGGAAACUGAGAACACACCCCUGGGCCACGGGGCAUGUAUGCCAGCUGGUAAGGCUUUAACUCUGAAUUCACUAUUCUUCACACAGAAACACAAUGUGUCUCAAGUCUCCCAGAAAUGCAAACACUUUCUAAACAAGGGGAAGAUUGUACUGUGUAUGUCCAAAAUGCCAACACUUAGGAGGCAUCUUGGGAGGUUCACAACAAUUUGAGCCUUGAUGACGUGUGACUUGUAUGUUUCAAGACUUACUGUAUUCACCAUUGGUGAGCACUUGCACCCUCUAGCUGCCCUCAACACCCAGGAGAACAGGUUCUUCCUAUGCUCCUCAAAUCUGCGUCCAGAGAUGCAUUGAUAACACCAUGGAAAGUGGCAAAUAUUACCCCUAAGGAUGGCUCUGUCUAUUCUUGAUCUCCAAAUAGUGGCUUCACUAUGAUGUUCCGGUUCCUUUUUUUUUUUUUUUUUUUUUCUGUUUAUUUUAUACUUCAGACUUUUUUUUUUAAUCAAUUUUUGGUUAGUUAUAUGCAUAGUGGAUUAUGUUAUUCACUAAUUUCACUCCAAAACCCCAAUAAAAACAACUAGACAUUCUUUUUCAAAUAGUUAUUUUAUCAAUAACUCUCCAUUCCCCAUACUCAUGCUAUCUAUUAACCCUCGAUAAAUUCCUUGGAUCACACACACACACAC
rnacentral:lncRNA from 1 species